UCAUCAUCAUAAUGCCCUUUUAAAAAAAGGUGUAAUGGUUAAUGCCCAUUUGAUUUAUUACUUUCCAUUAUUUUUAUUCUCUUUGGGCAUUAUUAUAGAAAUGCCCCUCACUCUUCAUGCCCCUAUAAUGCCCAUGAGUAAUGGUGUAAGGGCAUUAUCAAAAUCUUUCAUGCCCUUAUAAAGCCCCAUUACAUAUGGUCUUACAUUUGAUAUCUAUUUUGGUCCUUGUCAUCAUCAAUUCUGGUCAUGGGCGAAGCUUUUAAGGGGCGGGAGGGGGCGGCCGACCCUCCCGAACUUUUCGCUCAAUAGUGGAGAGUAGGUAGUUUUCGUAUAGAAAUUUUUGGGUAUACAUUUUCGACCCCUGAUUUUAUAGAAAUUUUUAGGUCCGGUGACUUCCAACCCCCGGUCGGAAAUCUCAAGCUUCGCCACUGCUUCUGGUCUCUAUUUUAAUUCUCUUCGUAGUUUUUUAAGUAGAUUUUAAUAUUUUCUAUAUCAAUCAUUUUACUGCAUUUACAUUUUCGACCUCCGAUUUUAUAGAAAUUUUUAGGUCCGGUGACUUCCAACCCCUGGUCGGAAAUCUCAAGUUUCGCCACUGCUUCUGGUCCUUGCCAGACCAUAUCUCAUAACCAUAUGUUUGGUAGUGGUUUGUGAUAUUAACUAGCAAGACAUACAAAGGAACAUGUGAUCCACGUGAGAAAAAAGCCAGAUACUAUAAAUUGUGCCAAUAUUUGUCGUGCUGAAGGUGCAAGAGAUGGGUAUUGUUUGAUAAACAAAGUAUGUCAUUGCGUGAAUAGUCGUAUACCUACAUAUUAAAAUACGUGUAAUGUUUUAGUAAUUGCAAUACUACUAAUAAUAGGAACUACUGUGGUUAACUUCAAACCUUAUGGUAAUUUUCUUACAGAUAAAAGUCUCAUUGCACAAUAUUGAUUAGUUACUAUAUAUAAUAAUGGGCAUGGAUCUACAGAAAACUUAUUUCUACUAAGAAAACCUAAGAAACCCAAUCUAGACCAUUGAUCAUGAUCAUCCAAUGGCUCAUAAAAUUUGAAGCAUUUUUGAAUUAAAUUAAAUAGAGUGGUAAAGUCAAAAAGAUACUUCAAGAGCAUAUGGGUAAAAUUACCUAUGAUAUUAUGACAUUUUAUAUAUUAUAUUCAUAUUGAUUAGACAUUCAUGAUAUGAAAAGGAGAGAGAAGCACAAUUACCUAUAACCAAGAUUCUCAUUUCUCUCUUUCUCUCUCAGACCUUCAUUCUCUCUCUUCUUUAUUAUUGUCACCAUCACCAUCAUCAUUGUUUCUCUUUCUUCUUUCUUCUUUUCUUUGAGAAUUCAAAAAAACUUCUGUGCAUUCACCAUCAUCAUCAUCCCUUCUCUCAUCCUCUCUCUUUCUUCAUGUUUCAAUCACCAAGAACACACACAAGUGUGUGUGAGAGAAUCGUUAUUGUUAAAACCCUUUCGUGUUCAUGAAGAACACCAAGAACACACACACAAGUGUGUGAGAAAGAAGCAGGCCUGAAUCAUUCGGUUGCAUGUGUUUCUAGAGAGAGAAAGUUAUUAGAACACCAAGACCAAGAACACACACAAGUGUGUGAGAGAGAAGCAGGUCAGAAAUCAUUUGGUUCAUGGGUUUUAGAGAGAGAAAGUUGUUAGAACGCCAAGAACACACACACACAAGUGUGUGUGAGAGAAUCAUUUUUGAAGAUCUUCAUCGUGUUCAUCAGACGGGUCUAGAUCCGUGAGGAGAAUGACCAGGUCCGUGACGGGUAGGCUGGCUAAUAAGCGAAAGCAAAACGAUAAAGAAACAGAACGAUAACGAAAGAAGGUAGAUGGAGAAACCGAUGAAGAAUGGGAACAAGAAGUCGAUGAAGGGCAGGUGGUGGGUACCUUUGACGUUGUACAGAAGUUACACUCCAGUGUAACACAUGUUACAAACAUGUGUUACAUAUGUUCAACCCCUUUGUUACCAAAAAUCGGGGCUGCACAUAUGUAAGACAUGUUUGUAACUUAUGUUACACUAGAGGGUAACACAUGUAUGAUCAUUUUUGGAUCAUUUGUAUAUAUUUAAGUCUGUAUAAACCUACAACAUUGAUAC
rnacentral:lncRNA from 1 species